rnacentral:rRNA from 2 species
CACGUGGGUAACCUGCCUGUAAGACUGGGAUAACUCCGGGAAACCGGAGCUAAUACCGGAUAGUUCCUUGAACCGCAUGGUUCAAGGAUGAAAGACGGUUUCGGCUGUCACUUACAGAUGGACCCGCGGCGCAUUAGCUAGUUGGUGGGGUAAUGGCUCACCAAGGCGACGAUGCGUAGCCGACCUGAGAGGGUGAUCGGCCACACUGGGACUGAGACACGGCCCAGACUCCUACGGGAGGCAGCAGUAGGGAAUCUUCCGCAAUGGACGAAAGUCUGACGGAGCAACGCCGCGUGAGUGAUGAAGGUUUUCGGAUCGUAAAGCUCUGUUGUUAGGGAAGAACAAGUGCGAGAGUAACUGCUCGCACCUUGACGGUACCUAACCAGAAAGCCACGGCUAACUACGUGCCAGCAGCCGCGGUAAUACGUAGGUGGCAAGCGUUGUCCGGAAUUAUUGGGCGUAAAGGGCUCGCAGGCGGUUUCUUAAGUCUGAUGUGAAAGCCCCCGGCUCAACCGGGGAGGGUCAUUGGAAACUGGGAAACUUGAGUGCAGAAGAGGAGAGUGGAAUUCCACGUGUAGCGGUGAAAUGCGUAGAGAUGUGGAGGAACACCAGUGGCGAAGGCGACUCUCUGGUCUGUAACUGACGCUGAGGAGCGAAAGCGUGGGGAGCGAACAGGAUUAGAUACCCUGGUAGUCCACGCCGUAAACGAUGAGUGCUAAGUGUUAGGGGGUUUCCGCCCCUUAGUGCUGCAGCUAACGCAUUAAGCACUCCGCCUGGGGAGUACGGUCGCAAGACUGAAACUCAAAGGAAUUGACGGGGGCCCGCACAAGCGGUGGAGCAUGUGGUUUAAU